ensembl:lncRNA
CACACAAAUAGCCCAAGGAGGCAGGUGAAGACAGAACUUGAGUGUUACUUUCUUCCUCCUCCUCCUCCUCCUGUUGCUGCUGCUUUAAUACUAUUUAUUAUUCCAGAAUGGCUCUUGUAUACGUUUCUUUGGUGCCAGGCAAGAUGAUGGGUGAGCUGGGAAGUAAUUGGAGAAUGCUCCCUGUAGGUUCUCUGCCCCCGCACCUGUCAUCUCAUGCUACCACUUGAUGUCCAAGAUACUCUAAUGCAGUUGCCUACGAGGACAUGACUUUCCUGACAGACAGUUGGCUUCUUUUCACAUUACAUAGAAUCCCCACCCAGUUUUCUUUUCCUUUUGGACUUGCUGAGUGAUUGGUGAAUAUGAUAAAUUAAUUCAAGGUAGGGUGUUAAUGGCAGGUAACUUUUCCUAAGGGGAGUAUUUAUAUUUUAAGAGAAGACCAAUCAAUAAUCCAAAGAAAUUCAAUUCUAAUGGUAGAAUUCCUGGCUGAUGAUAAUGAAAGUAUUUUUAGUUAAAAGUGGGGACAAUACAAAAGAGUAGAAUUUGUCCUGGAAUCUAUGGACCUGGGUUCAAACCCGACUCUGACACUACUUGGGUUAAGUCACUAAAUUUCUCUCUACCCCAGUUUCCUUGUGUGUAAAAUGAUGGGAUUGUAGUAAAUGGCCUCUGAAGUCCCUUCAAGGUCUAGGAUCCAAUGAUG